AUACGGAGGGUGCAAGCGUUAAUGGGAAUUACUUGGCGUAAAGCGCGCGUAGGCGGUUUGAUAAGUCGGAUGUGAAAUCCCCGGGCUCAACCUGGGAAUUGCAUUCGAUACUGUCAGGCUAGAGUGUGGUAGAGGGAAGUGGAAUUUCCGGUGUAGCGGUGAAAUGCGUAGAUAUCGGAAGGAACACCAGUGGCGAAGGCGGCUUCCUGGACCAACACUGACGCUGAGGUGCGAAAGCGUGGGGAGCAAACAGGAUUAGAUACCCUAGUAGUCC
rnacentral:rRNA from 1 species